GAUGAACGCUGGCGGCGUGCCUAAUACAUGCAAGUCGAGCGAACAGACGAGGAGCUUGCUCCUCUGACGUUAGCGGCGGACGGGUGAGUAACACGUGGAUAACCUACCUAUAAGACUGGGAUCACUUCGGGAAACCGGAGCUAAUACCGGAUAAUAUAUUGAACCGCAUGGUUCAAUAGUGAAAGACGGUUUUGCUGUCACUUAUAGAUGGAUCCGCGCCGCAUUAGCUAGUUGGUAAGGUAACGGCUUACCAAGGCAACGAUGCGUAGCCGACCUGAGAGGGUGAUCGGCCACACUGGAACUGAGACACGGUCCAGACUCCUACGGGAGGCAGCAGUAGGGAAUCUGCCGCAAUGGGCGAAAGCCUGACGGAGCAACGCCGCGUGAGUGAUGAAGGUCUUCGGAUCGUAAAACUCUGUUAUUAGGGAAGAACAAAUGUGUAAGUAACUAUGCACGUCUUGACGGUACCUAAUCAGAAAGCCACGGCUAACUACGUG
rnacentral:rRNA from 1 species